rnacentral:rRNA from 1 species
CACACAACAGGUGGAGCUGCGGUUUAAUCGGACUCAACGCCGGGAAACUCACCAGAUAAGACAGCUGAAUGAUAGUCGGGCUGAAGACUCUACUUGACUAGCUGAGAGGAGGUGCAUGGCCGUCGUCAGUUCGUACUGUGAAGCAUCCUGUUAAGUCAGGCAACGAGCGAGACCCACGCCAACAGUUGCCAGCUCGUCCUCCGGGAUGGUGGGGACACUGUUGGGACCGCCUCUGCUAAAGAGGAGGAAGGAAUGGGCAACGGUAGGUCAGCAUGCCCCGAAUUAUCUGGGCUACACGCGGGCUACAAUGGGUGGGACAAUGGGUAUCGACACCGAAAGGUGAAGGCAAUCUCCUAAACCCAUCCGUAGUUCGGAUUGUGGGCUGCAACUCGCCCACAUGAAGCUGGAAUUUGUAGUAAUCGUGUCUCAAAAUGGCACGGUGAAUAUGUCCCUGCUCCUU